CCCUUGUUCUAAAAAUCGGCCGCCUAGCCGAUUAAUUGGGCGAGUAAUCGUAAAGCAGAAGGUAACCGUGGCGAAAUGGUUCAAAUCGUUUCAUUCUACGCUCGUCCUUUUAAUAAGCAAAAUCGCUUGGCCCAAACACGUUACUUCUUCAUGUAUAUAAUUUAGUUUGGCCCAAAUUUUUGUUAAACACAUAUAUUUGCCAUCGUCCAAUCUCCAAACCAACUAUUAAGUAUUAAUUUAACCCAAUCAUCUCCCAAACUUUAUUCCCUACAAGAUAUGAACUCGUUGCAUUGCAACGGGUUUUGUUUGAUUUUUAAUUUAAUCAAAAUCCAUUUUAUGAUUGUUUUUGGCUAUGUUGUUUGAAAUUUAAUUUAUAAUUAAAACUCGUUUUCAUACAUAAGUUCAAACUAAUAUUUGUAUUUUAUAACCAUGGUGCAAAUAUGAAUUGUUAUGAACUUUGUACUUAGGAUUAGAGAAAAUAUUAUACAUAAACGUUUAAACUGAACACAACCCAAAAUAAAAAAUUGAAUGAAAAAGUAAAAAGAAAUGAAAGUCAAAUACAUCAAUCAAGUCAAAACAUUAUACAUGUUCUUAUGUACUAAACUAAUGUUUUAUUAAAUAAGUUUUUAAAAUUUUAUUUUGUUAGGAUUUUUUUUAAAAAGGAAAAAAUUCUAUUUUAUAAAUCUCCUUUUUAUUUGCAAUUAAAAAAAUAAAACAAAACUAAUAUUAAAUACUCUUUUACAAAAAAUUUAAAUAUUUUAGAAAACAUAACCUAUUACAAUGAUCUUCUCUUUAGCAUUUUGGAAAAAACAAAUUGCUAUCGAAUAAUUAUUUUUAGUUAUUAAUAAAUAAUUCUAAAAUUAAUAUUUUUUACGAUUCGUAUCAAUACUAGUUUUAUUGAUUAAAUAAUAUUUAGUAUCAUGUUCAUCCUCAAAUACUCUCUUAAAAAUAAUAUCAAAUAAAUGUUUACGAUUCUCUUUUGGUUAGAACUUAAAAAUAUGAUACAAAUUUCUUUUGGUAAGGAUUUGUUUUAUAAAAAAAAAAAGAAAACAACUAUCAAAUAUUAUUUUACAGUUUUUUUGGGGUUUUAGAAAAGGAAAUUCAUAUUACAUAUCUUUUACAAUUAUAUUCUGUAUAGGAUUUAAAAAAAUAAAAUUUCUAUCAAAUAAUUAUUUCAAGUUAAUAUUAACUAUUUUUAAAUGUUGCCAUUUUAAACAUUCAUUUUUUUUUUCAAUAUCACUAAUAUUUUUACAUUUUUUUGUUAAUUAAAUAUUUGUCACUAUCAUGUUUUCAUCAUUAAUUGUUUUGAGUAAAAAUUACUAUUAAAUAAAAUUUUCAAUUUUCUCUUUCAAUAUUUUUUUUAAAAAAUAAUAAUAAUUGGUUAGAUCUCUUUUAUUUAAGAUAUUAGGAAAAGAAGAAGUUAUUUUCACGUAAUGACAAUUUUUAUUGACACAUUCACAAUCUAAUUUGUUUAAUUGACACAAUGUCACAAAUCACAAUCAUAUAAGGUAAAAUAUUUGAAGUUAAUUUUGGUUUAUAUUUUGUAACACAAAAUUAUAAAAAAGUAAAGUUAGUUAAUUAUAAGAAAAAUAAGAUUAUUUUAUAUUUUCAUUUUAUUUAGACUUUUAAAAAGGAAAAUAAUUAUUUUAUAAUUAGUUUUUUCUUUUAGAUUUUUAUACAACUAUUUUAUUUUUAAAAGAAAAAGUUCUGUUUAAUUAUUUAUAUAUUUUGUUUUAUACAUACAAACGCAUAUUCAUCAUAUUCACACAUACUCAUGUACGACAACAACUUCAAAAUUAAAAGUUAUGUUAUCAUCAUAAGAUGUAAUAAGGAUAAUAAAAAAAUAAAUUGUAUCAAGAAAUUAAAAGAAAAUAUUCAGGUAAUACUUUUCUUGUAAAUACUAUUGUGUAUUGUAAAAAUAAUAUGUCGAGCUUAACCUAAAUAUAUAUGUGAAAUAAAUAUUAUACAAUUAAUAUAUAUAUGUGGUCAUAGUUUUUAAUAUACAAUUAUUUAUUAAAAAGGAAAGUUAGUUACUUAUAAGAAAAUAAUAAGAGUACUUUUACUAUUUUCUUUUAAUUAUGCUUUAAAAAGCUAAUAUUAUUUAUUUUAAAGUUAGUUUUUCUUCAUGUUUUUAUUAAAUAAUUUAUUAUAUUUCUAGGAUUUUUUGUUUCUUAAACGUUAAUAUUUAUUUUUUAUAAUUCUCUAUCUUUAGUAUCUUUUAAAAAAACAUUAUAAUAAAAAUAAUAAUAAUAAGACUAUUAACUAAUAUUUAUAAUUAACUUUGAAGGAAAAUCCUUUUUAUUAUUAGGAAGAAAUAUUCAUAGAUAUUGUUUUAUUUAAAAUUUUAAACUAAUAAUAACUUCAAUAUUUCACUUGAUAUGAUUGCAACAUGUGUCAAUUAAAAAGAUUAAAUUUUGAAAUGUGUUUAAUAAAAAGAAGCCACUUUUAAAGUGUGUUUAACAUCUUAUGCAAUUAUCUUUUGAUUAGGAUUUAAAAAAGGAUAAUUACUAUUAAGAAAUAUUAUUUUAUUAUUUUAGUGUAUACAUUUUUGAUUAUGAGAUAGUUUAACACAUAUCACAUUUUUAAAUAUAUAACUAACAUGUGUCACAAUCAUGUUAAUUAGCAAUUUUGAAGAAUCAAGCUCAAUAUAAUCUUUUAUAAUUAUAUUUCCAUUAAAGUUUUAGAAAAGGAAAAUUAUAUUAAAUAAAUUGCUUUCAAAUCUUUUUUUCAGGAUUUUGAAAAAGGAAAAUUUCUAAAAGCAUUACUACUAAAUAUUUUUUAAAGAUUAUUUUUAAAAGUAGUUUAUAUACAUGUGUUUAAAUAAUUUUUAAAAGUAGUUUUUUUAAUUCGUUUUAAUUAUCUUAUUAUAUAUUUUUAACAUUAUAUAUUUAAACACAUGUCCCAAUAUUCAGAAAGAAAAUUACUAUCAAAUAAUAUUUUGCAAUUAUCUUUUGAUUAAGAUUUUACAAAAGGAAAUUACUAUUAAAUAAUAUUUAGAAUUACUUUUAAUAAAAUUCAUUUUUGUUAAUAUCUUAGUAUAUAUAUUUUUAAUUAUGAGAUUGAUUAACACAUGUCACAAUCUUAAAAUAUAUAAUUGUCAUGUGUCGCGAUCAUGUUAAUUAGCAACUUUGAAAAACCAAGCUUUAUAAAUAAUAUUUAGAAUUACUAACACAUGUCCCAAUAUUCAGAAAGAAAAUUACUAUCAAAUAAUAUUUUGCAAUUAUCUUUUGAUUAAGAUUUUACAAAAGGAAAGUUACUAUUAAAUAAUAUUUAGAAUUACUUUUAAUAAAAUUCAUUUUUGUUAAUAUCUUAGUAUAUAUAUUUUUAAUUAUGAGAUUGAUUAACACAUGUCACAAUCUUAAAAUAUAUAAUUGUCUUGUGUCGCGAUCAUGUUAAUUAGCAACUUUGAAAAACCAAGCUUUAUAUAAUAAGAUACAAAAAAUUCUCCAUUUUCUUUGAAACCCUGACUUUGAAAACUAACAAAAUCUCAUUGGAACAUAUAUUAUAUAUGUUUGAUGUGUAACUGUAACAUGUAUUAUACAUAAAUACAUAUAAAUGAAGUAUUAUACAUGUAAAAAUACCAAAAAUUCCGCCUCGUGUACUUCCCGAUUUUUUCCCGCUUUUUUGAUAACUCGCUAGGCCCGGGUGCGCCGCACGCGUUAUGCCUACCGAGUUUCCGAACAAGGCUCCGCUCACAUGAAAAAACCGGUGGUCCAAACGCUAGGCCCAACUUCUGCCAGUGAGAAAAUUCUUUGAUGCCCCUAUACCUUAUAUACCUUAUUUCUUUAACAAGUGGGGGUUGCGUAAUGAUUACAUUCAUGUAAUCAUGAGUCUUUAUACACACAACCGUUUGAAUUUGUGUAGUCUCUCUCUCUCUCUCACGCUCAUUCUAUUAUUUAUUUUUAAUACAUUCUUGUUUAUCUCUUUCUUCUUUGCAUGUUCAAUUCUCAGCUUUUUUUUUGUAAAAAAAAAUUAAAUUCAAUCCAAAAACUUUUGUCUCUCCUCAAAGUGUGUCCACAUUCGUAGUACGAAAACUUGUUUUUUCUAAUGGAUCACAUGCAUGAAGGACAUGUUAGUUUUGAAUGUGGUUGCACGGCGGCGCGUGUGUGGACUCGUCUUUGGAAAAAGCGGGUGAGCCAUUUAUGUUUCCGCAGGCAAGGGCUGUUCCCAAGAGAAACAAUCAAGGAUCGCUUUCCCGUUGUCUCUUCCACUGCUCUCCAUCAGAUUUUUUUAGGUUUAUAGUAAAACAAAGCUCUUUCUCACUUCAUGCUCCAAAAAAUGUUAACUUUCUAACCAUCACCAUCCAUCGCGCCUCCGCUGCAUUACCGUGGCCAAGUACCAUCUCCGGUGGGUCAGUUCAGAAGACAGAGUUGGUUAAGGGUAAAGUACUCGAGUCGUGUUCUUCUUCUUAGUUGUUACCGUAGUUACUGAAAAAAAAUUUCACUUUUCUUUAAUGAUGUAAUUUGUGAAAUUACUGGUUAAUGGAUUUUACUUAUCAUUUUUUGCUAUAGUUAGCCGGUUACAAAAACACACAUGAAAUAUCAUAAUACCAAAUGCAAUAUAUUUAUUUGGCUACAUUGUAUACCUAACUUAUAAUGUAUACCGGUUAUCUCAAGUAGUUGCUAGUUAUUUAAGUUAGUAGUCGGUUAUUUUUGUCUCCAAUAAUAUAACACAUAUGUGUCUCUAUUGAUAUAUCUAUAAACAUACAAUUAUUCAGUUAUUUCUAAUAGUUUCUGGUUAUUUAAAUUAGUAGUCGGUUAAUUCUAAUAGUUGAUGGUUAUUUAAAUUAGUGGUCAGUUAUCUUUUAUUUGUAAUAAUAUAACAUGUAUUUGUCUCUAUUGAUAUGAGACAUGUGUAUUUAUAAUGGUUGUAGUUAUCUAAUGGUUGUUAGUUAUUAUCUGGUUAUCUCAGAUAACAUACGUAUUGGAUGGUCACUAUUAAAUUAUACUUGAAUGACAUAACAUGUAUGUUUCACAGAAUCAUGUUGUUCAUAUCCAAUAAGUUAGGUAGUAUAUACUAAUUAUCUGGAUAUCAAUACUCUUAGCUAGUGUUCAUUUCUUCACUCAAAUAAAAAAUACAUUUAGCGCAAUAUAGUUAUCCGGCUAUAAUCAUAUAUCAAAUAAAAAAUUAAUUACUUUUCCGAUUAUAGUUAUUCGGCUACAUAUAGUUUCUCGACUAUAGUUAUCCGUCCACAUAUGUUUUUCGAUAUAGUAAACAGCCAGACCAUUAGUCCGUCGUCGUCUCCGGGAACCUCCUUUCUUAUCUUCUUCUUCUUUUUCAUCCUCUCUCAUCUUUUUAUUUUUUUUCUCUCCUCUUUUUCUUCUUCCUCCUAUAUAGCAUCCUAUAUCAUUCCUCACCAGACUGAAAUGAAGGCGAGCUGUUGCAAACGCGAGGUGACGGUGUGACGGUGAGCCUGAGCUGAGGAGAGGUAAUUAUAUUGUGAUAGCGAGCUUGAGCAGAUGUAAUGGUGUGAUGGCGUGACGGUGAGAUGGUGCGACGGUGUGACGGCAAUAGCAAAGAAGGGAACUUGAAAAAUUUGAAGAGAAAAAGAGAGGUGAGAUUAAGAGACAUAGAAAAUUUAAGAAACUUUAAAGAAAGAGAUAAAAUGAGAGAGGUGGGAUCUGUGGACAUAGGAGAAAGAGAUAAGAGAGGAGA